CUACGGGCUGCUCCAGUGAGGAAUAUUGCACAAUGGGGGGAACCCUGAUGCAGCAACGCCGCGUGGAGGAUGACGCAUUUCGGUGUGUAAACUCCUUUUAUAUGUCAAGAAAAUGACGGUAGCAUAUGAAUAAGCACCGGCUAACUCCGUGCCAGCAGCCGCGGUAAUACGGAGGGUGCAAGCGUUACUCGGAAUCACUGGGCGUAAAGGACGCGUAGGCGGGUUGGAAAGUCAGGUGUGAAAUCCUACAGCUUAACGGUAGAACUGCACUUGAAACUUCUAAUCUAGAGUAUGGGAGGGGGAGAUGGAAUUAGUGGUGUAGGGGUAAAAUCCGUGGAUAUCACUAGGAAUACCUAAAGCGAAGGCGAUCUCCUGGAACAUUACUGACGCUAAGGCGUGAAAGCGUGGGGAGCAAACAGGAUUAGAUACCCGCGUAGUC
rnacentral:rRNA from 1 species